rnacentral:rRNA from 1 species
GUCUACAGCCAUACCACCCUGAAUACACCCGAUCUCAUCUAUCUUAGAAGCUAAGCAAGGUCGGGCCUGGCUUAUAUUUGAAUGGGAGAACUAUAAGAAUUGUGUUUU